UGGGGAAUUUUGGACAAUGGGCGAAAGCCUGAUCCAGCAAUGCCGCGUGUGUGAAGAAGGCCUUCGGGUUGUAAAGCACUUUUGUCCGGAAAGAAAUCCUUGGCUCUAAUACAGUCGGGGGAUGACGGUACCGGAAGAAUAAGCACCGGCUAACUACGUGCCAGCAGCCGCGGUAAUACGUAGGGUGCAAGCGUUAAUCGGAAUUACUGGGCGUAAAGCGUGCGCAGGCGGUUUGCUAAGACCGAUGUGAAAUCCCCGGGCUCAACCUGGGAACUGCAUUGGUGACUGGCAGGCUAGAGUAUGGCAGAGGGGGGUAGAAUUCCACGUGCAGCAGUGAAAUGCGUAGAGAUGUGGAGGAAUACCGAUGGCGAAGGCAGCCCCUUGGGCCAAUACUGACGCUCAUGCACGAAAGCGUGGGGAGCAAACAGGAUUAGAUACCCUGGUAGUCCACGCCCUAAACGAUGUCAACUAGUUGUUGGGGAUUCAUUUCCUUAGUAACGUAGCUAACGCGUGAAGUUGACCGCCUGGGGAGUACGGUCGCAAGAUUAAAACUCAAAUGAAUUGACGGGGUC
rnacentral:rRNA from 1 species